rnacentral:rRNA from 1 species
AUUCCAGCUCCAAUAGCGUAUAUUUAAGUUGUUGCAGUUAAAAAGCUCGUAGUUGGAUUUCGGUUAAGAGCGACCGGUCCGCCGUUUGGUGUGCACUGGUUGGUUUUAACUUCCUGUAGAGGACGUGCUCUGGGCUUAACGGUCUGGACUCGGAGUCUACGUGGUUACUUUGAAAAAAUUAGAGUGUUCAAAGCGGGCUUACGCUUGAAUAUUUCAGCAUGGAAUAACACUAUAGGACUCCUGUCCUAUUUCGUUGGUCUCGGGACGGGAGUAAUGAUUAAGAGGAACAGUUGGGGGCAUUCGUAUUUCAUUGUCAGAGGUGAAAUUCUUGGAUUUAUGAAAGACGAACUUCUGCGAAAGCAUUUGCCAAGGAUGUUUUCAUCA